GCACAGUCAUACACUAAAGUCAAGUCUUCCAUCAAGUGUCAAUGGAAGGAUUUGGGCCAAGAUAGCUGCCAACGACCCUGUGUUUCUUGCCUCCAAUGUUGAGAGUCAUUUCAAAAGAGUGAGAAGUGAGAAGUAUGCCCUUGUGGAGCAUGCCUCAAUUACAAACCGCCUAAUGUCUGAAGACUGCCAAUUGGAGCUUCUAGGAGAAAGUGUACUGUGGUUACACGUGGCAUUUGGAUUGCCUCAAAGGUCCCCCCUGAAAGCCGACUUCGAGAACGUAAUGUCGCAGCUCACCGCGAGUGGCAUACUAGACGUAAUCUGGGCGAAAUGGACUGUCAAGAGAAACCUGACAAAUUGUCCACAAAAACGAAUCUUGAAGUCAAUCACAGUGAACCAGAUUGGAGGUGGUUUCAUCGUCGUGUGUGCGGGGACCGUACUCAGUAUCAUUGUGUUGUGUCUGGAGAAACUGAUACAUUUAAGGCAAAACUGAUUUACUUAUGAAUCAGUAUCAUCAUAUGUGUACUACAGAAAAGAAUUGUAUCAUUAUGAAAGUAGCGAACUUCAGACAAAAGUAAUGUUCCUGAUGCAUUAAAAUAACAGAUGAGU
rnacentral:lncRNA from 1 species